rnacentral:misc_RNA from 1 species
UCCCUACGAGAACGUGGGGAUGGAUCACCUCCUUUCUACGGAGUACAAUUGAAGUUAUCCAUACUUCAUGACUAAAGUUAAUGGAAUUAUAUUCGUAUCCAGUUUUGAGAGAAUUAUUCUCUCUUUUUGUUCUUUGAAAACUGAAUUAGACAUUGAAAAAUUAUCAAAUUAAUAUUUCAAAGUUUAGAUCAACCUAUAGAAUAUUCUAAAACAUAUAUACGACAACAAUAGGUCAUACAUAUUUAACUAUUAAAUAAGCAAGAGUUUUUGGUGGAUGCCUUGGGUCA